CCCAAACCCAAAUGCAUGCCCGACGAGCUUAUGGAGUUUGGGCUGGGUCUCGUCGGAUCUUCCCUAUUCGUUUUUUUUUGCGACUUUUACGGCGGGCGAGGGAUAACUUUCUUCCUCCACUUAGGGUUUGCAUCUGGAUAGUAGAUCGCGUGAGUUCGGCGAGAAAAUAGCGAUGGCAUCUCCGGCGACGAGUUCGUUGCUGUUCAAGUUCCUGCGGCCACGCCUCCGCCCUCAGUCGACGGACAUCGUUUCCGCCGCCACCUGGGGAGUCGCCGCCACCGCCACCGCCCUCUGGCUCAUUCAGCCUUUUGAUUGGUUGAAGAAGAAGCUGUUGGAGGAACCAGAGCCCGAGAACUGAAUUUUGUCUCGACGUGCACAGUAGAAAUCUGUGAGAAAUUUGGUACCCUGUUAAGGAUAUCUAUCUUAUGUUUCAGUUUCCUUUGCAAAUGGCAGGAUGAACUGAAAAAAGAUGCGCUGUUUCUUGCUUCGUUGAUGACCAAACAUUUGUUGUUUUUGAAAUAACUCCUGUAUCAAAGUUCUUAUGUGGUUGUGUUGAAUGGGUUAUGGUUGGUUUGGAAUAACUGACAUGCAUCUCUUGUAACCAUUUGCUUUUUAUCUAAGCCAAGUAUUGCCUGCAGCUAUCCAAAGUCUUGAAGGCAGCCAAACAAGCUGGCUACCAUAUCAGAAGACAGAAUUUGCUGAAGUGUUCACUGCAAGAGGAAGCUAUGAUUGUAUACUGAGGUACUUAACUACUUAUUUGCUGUAUUAUCUGAUUAUUUGAGGGGGCGAUAAAGUUACAGUACUAGCAUUGUCCAAAUGUUAGUGUCACCUUACACCUCUAUACAGCCCUCAUAAAUAUACAACACCACCAAGUCAAACCUAACAAUUAUAUUCAGACGCCAGUAUCAAGAUUUCAAUGAUCAAGGUUUAUUAAUCAGGAAUAAGAUCACAUCUGCCACUUGGUCUCUGGUAUGCUGCUUUGCUAUUGGCAUUUGUCAAGCAACUUAGGAAUCUCCUACGGUAUCCUAAGGUAUCAUGAGUCUGGUUGCGUUCCACAAGUGGAGCUGAAAGCUGGUUGCCUGGCUCGGUAAGCAUGAUCCACACACUACUCAUUCAGUAUGGGAGCUGGGACUUUCAGCAACUUGUAGCUCGUCGGACGUGGAUGUUGACCAGGCCUUUAAUGGCCUCAUUAUUUUUCUUUGUUGGGUGCAACGGCGAACUGUAAUCUAUGGUGACCUGUGCAUAACCUAGCUGGUAAUCUGCAGCCACUUAUACGUAAGUCUCACACUUAGCCCCGUCGCAUCAGAAAGCUUCUCUAGUUUGUCCAUGCUGAGCUAGCAAUUUAAUUCUAAAUGACCUUCCAACAACUCGUGCAAGUUAGUGGCAUGGAAAAAAUUUCGUGUGCACGAAAGGAUCUCCAUUCAUUUCUUUCAUUCUAGUUAAUUGUUGUCAUUGGUCGUUUAAACGGGACAUUAAGUAAUGCCAGGUUGCUGGUUUAGUGGUGGUUGGUUGAUGGUUAUCCACUUUAACCAACCAACGUCGAAAUCGUGUGUGUUGUGAGGGAUGGGGAAUACUCUAGUGAAGAAAGCCGGUUCGAUGAUUGAGUGGAUUCGGAAUCUGGAGUUCGAUGAAAGGUCCAACCCAUUGAUGUACGAUGUAUGAGGGAGGCUUAUCAUGGGCCAGACAUGUUUAUAGAGAGGCGAACAGAAUGGCUGAUUGGGUAACCUCAUUUGCAGUCCAUUACUUUGGAGUCUUCAUCUGAGGGGAUCAUGUCUACAUGUCGGUGUUUGAUUUUGUAUUUUUUUUCUGGUUUUGUUGGCUCCAAUCAGCUUCAGCGAAAAUAAAAGGCGGUUGUAUUUGAGAGCACCGGAGCAUUUAACACACGCCCGGCUGCUGACAACUCUGUCCCGGGGACUGAAUUCGUAGUCAAUGAAAUGGCUCUCUAUCAAAACCCAACCUCCAUAAUUGCGGUCUACGAAAUCAGCACCAGCACUCAAAAGGGACGGAUUGAGACAUCAAAAUUCACCUUCAAAAGCGGGUGUUCAUUCUAACCAUCAGCAAACCAAAAAAAGCUAAAUUUACUUCAACUCUCCAAGGUGAAAUAAGUUUAACCUGUAGAACUUUCACUUCUCUCUUUCUUUCUUUUUUUUUUAACGACGUAACGCACUCACCUUCACACAUCAACCAAACAGGAAAUUUGACUAAUCCAGUAAUAUUGUUCAAUUAUGUCACCGUCAUCGAACAAAAUUUCACACUUCGAAUUGGUGUAAAGAUUAAAGUUCUAAUCUUUUCCGUAACCGUUGUACGAUGGUAUAGGCGCGAAAAUAUUAUUAUGCCCCUUACUGACACUUUUAAGAGAAGACAGCGAAACGCGCAAGAGACGCUUCAUAUACGCGGAACCACCAGCUUGUUUAGGCUACCCAACAAGAUAGAAGCGGCUCCAUCUUUUUCUUCUCUUGCUGAUAGAGGCCAUAUUUCUUAGGCUUUGUUGGUGGUUGAAACUUGAAGGCCAUAUAGUAAUAUAGAGCCUCCUUGUUACUUUGGAUUGGAGACUGCCUUCCCCAAAAUCCCAAGGCUCACCUGUGCAAGGAUCAUGGGUCGUCGUCACCACCACCACCACCAUGAAGGCCGCAGCCCAUAUGAUGAUCCCUUUUUUGCCUGCUGUUGCUGCCCUUGCUUUCCGGUUUCCUCCGUCAUUAGGGGAUUCGGGAGGUGCAUCUUUGUGGCCUGCUUCCCCAUCUUGCAGUGCUUUGGAUUGGACGAGUACAGGCAUCACCACCACCACAACCAUCACAGCCAUUUCCAUUGAUUUGAUUCGAUUCCUCGGGCAAGCUGUCCUUCAAUUUGUUUAUAAUAUUUUGAUCCUUUCUCCAAGUUAUAAUUAGGCGUUCCGGGUUAGUAAUGUUGGUGAUGAAUUUUGUGGAACUCGUGUAAGUGGUUGGUGCGUCACUGUUCUCCAAAUUGCUACUCAAGAGACUUUUCAUAUAGCUUUAUGUAAUUAUUUUUCUUAUAUAUAUAUAUAUAACAAUCAUAUGUA